rnacentral:rRNA from 1 species
ACGGGUGAGUAACACGUAGGAAUCUGCCCUGUAGAGGGGGAUAACCCGAGGAAACUCGGGCUAAUACCGCAUAUACUCUUCGGAGGAAAGCUGGGGCAACCUGGCGCUAUAGGAGGAGCCUGCGUCUGAUUAGCUAGUUGGCAGGGUAAAAGCCUACCAAGGCGACGAUCAGUAGCUGGUCUGAGAGGAUGAUCAGCCACACUGGGACUGAGACACGGCCCAGACUCCUACGGGAGGCAGCAGUGGGGAAUAUUGGACAAUGGGGGAAACCCUGAUCCAGCAAUGCCGCGUGUGUGAAGAAGGCCUUCGGGUUGUAAAGCACUUUAGGCGGGGAAGAAGGUGGGCAUUUUAAGAGAUAGCUUACUUGACGGUACCCGCAGAAUAAGCACCGGCUAACUCUGUGCCAGCAGCCGCGGUAAUACAGAGGGUGCAAGCGUUAAUCGGAUUUACUGGGCGUAAAGGGCGCGUAGGUGGUUAUUUAAGUGAGAUGUGAAAGCCCCGGGCUCAACCUGGGAACUGCAUCUUAUACUGGGUAACUGGAGUACAUGAGAGGGUAGUGGAAUUUCCGGUGUAGCGGUG